GGACCACCAGAGGUCACUAUCAUUGCCAUCUUGGUUUUGCUAUGUCUCCCAGGCCGGAGUGCUGGAGUGCAGUGGUGCGAUAGAUCACAACUCACUGAUCACUAAUGGCUCACUAACCGUGUAUUGGUCAAGCUGGUUUCGAACUCCUGGGCUCAAGCAAUCCUCCUACCUCAGCCUCCCAACGUCCUGGGAUGACAGGCAUGAGCCACCACGCCUGGCUGUAUUAAGAUUUUUUUUUAAAUACACAAAGUAAUGUAGAGAGACAUCAUGUUAUAAAGUACCUCUAAGCCCCUGA